rnacentral:rRNA from 1 species
UACGGAGGGAGCUAGCGUUGUUCGGAAUUACUGGGCGUAAAGCGCACGUAGGCGGCUUUGUAAGUUAGAGGUGAAAGCCCGGGGCUCAACUCCGAAACUGCCUUUAAGACUGCAUCGCUUGAAUCCGGGAGAGGUGAGUGGAAUUCCGAGUGUAGAGGUGAAAUUCGUAGAUAUUCGGAAGAACACCAGUGGCGAAGGCGACCACCUGGACAAAGACUGACGCUGAGGUGCGAAAGCGUGGGGAGCAAACAGG